rnacentral:rRNA from 1 species
AGCAGCAGCCGCGGUAAUGCGUAGGUGGCAAGCGUUGUCCGGAAUUAUUGGGCGUAAAGGGCUCGCAGGCGGUUUCUUAAGUCUGAUGUGAAAGCCCCCGGCUCAACCGGGGAGGGUCAUUGGAAACUGGGAAACUUGAGUGCAGAAGAGGAGAGUGGAAUUCUACGUGUAGCGGAGAAAUGCGUAGAGAUGUGGAGGAACACCAGUGGCGAAGGCGACUCUCUGGUCUGUAACUGACGCUGAGGAGCGAAAGCGUGGGGAGCGAACAGGAUUAGAUACCCCUGUAGUCCCUGUCUCUUAUAU